GUGCUUGCUUCGGCAGCACAUACACUAAAAAUUGGAAGAUACAGAGAAGAUUAGCAAGGCCCCUGCGCAAGGAUGACACGCAAAUUCAUGAAGCAUUCCAUAUUAAA
rnacentral:snRNA from 1 species